rnacentral:rRNA from 1 species
GAUGAACGCUGGCGGCGUGCUUAACACAUGCAAGUCGAACGAAGCACUCUAUUUGAUUUUCUUCGGAGAUGAAGAUUUUGUGACUGAGUGGCGGACGGGUGAGUAACGCGUGGGUAACCUGCCUCAUACAGGGGGAUAACAGUUGGAAACGACUGCUAAUACCGCAUAAGCGCACGGUACCGCAUGGUAUCGUGUGAAAAACUCCGGUGGUAUGAGAUGGACCCGCGUCUGAUUAGCUAGUUGGUGGGGUAACAGCCUACCAAGGCGACGAUCAGUAGCCGACCUGAGAGGGUGACCGGCCACAUUGGGACUGAGACACGGCCCAAACUCCUACGGGAGGCAGCAGUGGGGAAUAUUGCACAAUGGGGGAAACCCUGAUGCAGCGACGCCGCGUGAGCGAAGAAGUAUUUCGGUAUGUAAAGCUCUAUCAGCAGGGAAGAAAAAAUGAC